UACGUAGGGUGCAAGCGUUGUCCGGAAUUAUUGGGCGUAAAGAGCUCGUAGGCGGUUUGUCGCGUCUGCUGUGAAAACCCGAGGCUCAACCUCGGGCCUGCAGUGGAUACGGGCAGGCUAGAGUUCGGUAGGGGAGAUCGGAAUUCCUGGUGUAGCGGUGAAAUGCGCAGAUAUCAGGAGGAACACCGGUGGCGAAGGCGGAUCUCUGGGCCGAUACUGACGCUGAGGAGCGAAAGCGUGGGGAGCGAACAGG
rnacentral:rRNA from 1 species